GAUGAACGCUAGCGGCAGGCUUAAUACAUGCAAGUCGAACGGGAUUGAGAAGCUUGCUUUUCAUGAGAGUGGCGCACGGGUGCGUAACACGUAUGCAACCUACCUUGUCCAGGGGGAUAGCCCGUUGAAAGAUGGAUUAAGACCGCAUAACAUUGAGCUGUGGCAUCACAAAUCAAUCAAAUAUUUAUAGGGACAAGAUGGGCAUGCGCCUGAUUAGGUAGUUGGCGGGGUAAUGGCCCACCAAGCCGACGAUCAGUAGGGGAUCUGAGAGGAUGACCCCCCACACUGGUACUGAGACACGGACCAGACUCCUACGGGAGGCAGCAGUAAGGAAUAUUGGUCAAUGGGCGAAAGCCUGAACCAGCCAUGCCGCGUGCAGGAAGACGGCCCUACGGGUUGUAAACUGCUUUUAUACGGGAAUAACCCCGGUUUCGUGAAACCGGCUGAAUGUACCGUAAGAAUAAGGAUCGGCUAACUCCGUGCCAGCAGCCGCCGUAA
rnacentral:rRNA from 1 species